UGAGCCGUCGUGCGCGGCAGGCCUAACACAUGCAAGUCGAACGGAAACAUGGUGUAGCUUGCUAGAUGGAUGGUGCGAGUGGCGGACGGGUGGAGUGAAUGGCUUGGGAACUUGCCUUUGCGAGGGGGAUGAACAGUUGGAAACGACUGCUAAUACCGCAUGAAUGUCUACGGACCAAACGGGGCUUCGGCUCCGGCGCAAAGAGAGGCCCAAGUGAGAUUAGCUAGUUGGUGAGGUAAAGGCUCACCAAGGCAACGAUCUCUAGCUGUUCUGAGAGGAAGAUCAGCCACACUGGGACUGAGACACGGCCCAGACUCCUACGGGAGGCAGCAGUGGGGAAUAUUGCACAAUGGGGGAAACCCUGAUGCAGCCAUGCCGCGUGUGUGAAGAAGGCCUUCGGGUUGUAAAGCACUUUCAGUUGUGAGGAAAAGUUAGUAGUUAAUACCUGCUAGCCGUGACGUUAACAACAGAAGAAGCACCGGCUAACUCCGUGCCAGCAGCCGCGGUAAUACGGAGGGUGCGAGCGUUAAUCGGAAUUACUGGGCGUAAAGCGCACGCAGGCGGUUUGUUAAGCUAGAUGUGAAAGCCCCGGGGCUCAAACCUGGGGACGGGUCAUNUAAAGAAACUGGGGCAAGAACCUAAGAAGUUCUUUGGGGAAGAAAGGGGGGGAAGUUGGGGAAAAUUUUCCCCAGGGGGUUGUUUAAGCCCGGGG
rnacentral:rRNA from 1 species